rnacentral:rRNA from 1 species
GACGAACGCUGGCGGCGUGCUUAACACAUGCAAGUCGAACGGAAAGGCCCUGCUUUUGUGGGGUGCUCGAGUGGCGAACGGGUGAGUAACACGUGAGUAACCUGCCCUUGACUUUGGGAUAACUUCAGGAAACUGGGGCUAAUACCGGAUAGGAGCUCCUGCUGCAUGGUGGGGGUUGGAAAGUUUCGGCGGUUGGGGAUGGACUCGCGGCUUAUCAGCUUGUUGGUGGGGUAGUGGCUUACCAAGGCUUUGACGGGUAGCCGGCCUGAGAGGGUGACCGGCCACCUUGGGCCUGCGAUACGGCCCAGACUCCUGCGGGAGGCAGCAGUGGGGAAUAUUGCACAAUGGGCGGACGCCUGAUGCAGCAACGCCGCGUGCGGGAUGCCGGCCUUCGGGUUGUAAACCGCUUUCGCCUGUGACGAAGCGUGAGUGACGGUAAUGGGUAAAGAAGCACCGGCUAACUACGUG